UACGUAGGGUGCGAGCGUUGUCCGGAAUUACUGGGCGUAAAGAGCUCGUAGGUGGUUUGUCGCGUUGUUCGUGAAAACCGGGGGCUUAACCCUCGGCGUGCGGGCGAUACGGGCAGACUUGAGUACUGCAGGGGAGACUGGAAUUCCUGGUGUAGCGGUGGAAUGCGCAGAUAUCAGGAGGAACACCGGUGGCGAAGGCGGGUCUCUGGGCCUUACCUGACGCUGAGGAGCGAAAGCGUGGGGAGCGAACAGG
rnacentral:rRNA from 1 species